UAGGGAAUCUUCCGCAAUGGACGAAAGUCUGACGGAGCAACGCCGCGUGAGUGAUGAAGGCUUUCGGGUCGUAAAACUCUGUUGUUAGGGAAGAACAAGUGCUAGUUGAAUAAGCUGGCACCUUGACGGUACCUAACCAGAAAGCCACGGCUAACUACGUGC
rnacentral:rRNA from 1 species